UCAUGCAAACCAAGGACAAUGCAAACACUGAUAGCAGAAUCAACGGCAAAAAUUAGGAAACAUUUCAACCAACAAAUCAAAAAAAUUCAAAUGGGAACACAUAGCAUUAAGACAAGCGCAACAAAAGGAAAAAAGAUACAACGUCCAUCUCUAUUCUUAUUUUUUCUCUUUUUGUGUGUGUGUUUGGGGGGUUGGGGGGCUCAGCUUCGCCUUUGCUCAUUCAUUCAACCAUAUCCUCAUCAUCUCUGAUCACCAGAUCAACUUGUUCUCAUAAAUGAACCUGCCCUGGUUAUCACCCAUGAAGAAUGGCAUGACCAUCCAAGGACAAAGCCACUACCGUUAGAACAUAAUUGAAAAGGUUUCCAAGAGAAAGAAGAGGAUUCCAGUUUGGUUCCCAUAGCAGCCUUGAUUGCUCAAGGCGCUUAUGUCAGCCAUGGUUGUUGAUCAUUGCCCGAGAUGAGAAUAAUUUGUACUUUCUUCAUUCUUGAGGGGCACUUUGGUACGAACUUAUGAGAUGGAACUAACUUGGCAUAUUAUUAGUCCCACUAACAAUGACUCAGGUCCCAGGUUCAAAUCCAGCAGGAAGGAAAGUGAAGAACAAACAGAAUAGAAGAUCCCAGGGACCAGCUCAGAAGAUAGUGCAUAAGUUCUAUAAUGGAAAGUUCAAUCAUCAUAGCCAUUGAAGAGUAGUACAAGACAAAAAAGGAAGUGACAACACACAAGGCAUCAUGAUUCAUGAUAUAAACCAUAAAAAUCUUUUGUAUAGGUAAACACCAGAAAUAAGUGAAAUAUGUCCCACAUGUUUGCAGAAAGAAUUGUGGGAGAGGAGACAAGAGGAUGUAGUUUCAGGCCUCUUUGGAACGCAGAUUUCCCCAUGUGUUCUCCAAACCACCACCCCAUCAGCACCAGACUAGAACCCAUUCCUAGUGGCGCCGCAAGCAACGGCAAGGGAAGGAGAUCACCAAUUGCGCCGCCGCCGUUUCUAUGCAUGGUCUAUCCAUCAAUCUAUCUAUACAUCCAUUAGGAGUUAGGGAAGAAGGGCUGGAGGUGCUGCUGCUGGUGCUGGCUGCUCAACAUGUCCCUAAUGCCAAGUUCUGACAUCAGCAUGUAAGCAAAUUUUCUUGAUUGGAAGAAUUUGAAGCGGAGAAUAGUUGCAAAGACGGUAGAGAGAGAAAAAAAAAGAGAGGGCUCAGCUUCACCUUUGCUCAAUCAUAGAAACCAAGCCCUACCUUCCCUUGCUGCACAAUUUACCAUCCUAAUGUAAGUGGCACUGCACUGGUUGUCACACAUAUCCAAAUGACCUUCCUAGGCAGAACCACAAACAAAAAGGGAUGAUUAAAUGUGCUUCAAGAGGGGAGAGGGUCAGCUCUAAUUAGAUACUUGCAGCAGCUUUGAUUGGUCAAAGGCAUGCAAUCAGAAAAGGUAGACAUCAUCGCCCUUCAUCAGCACUCGAUUCACAGGUUCAGGCCCAAUUCCAUGUAUUACACGGUCACCCAAAGUAAAUUUCACUUGCAAUGGCCACUGGGUGCUUACACCCAAGCCAGAAAAGCACCUCUUUAUAUCUCAUCAUCACAUAUCCUGAUCCCAUUCAGGGCAUCCGCAAGGGAAGAUGAGAGAGAGAGAGAGAGAGAGAGAGAGAGAAGCUCGCGAGGUGAGCUGGGGAAGAAAAGGCAGGGAUGAACGGGUCAUCCAGAGCACAGCACAGCACGGUGUAGGCAACAGCAGGGGAAGUAGAUCACCACUGCAGCCCCGCCGCUGUUUCUAUCCAUGGUUCAUCCAUCCAUCAGGUAAGCCGCAUCAGGCACCACCACACGGUUCCCAGCCCCGCCAGGGAAUGGAACGGCGGCGAGGCAGCACCGUAGAGAUGGCAGUGUGAAGCGACGGCCGAAACUGAGAAUGGUCCGUGCACGGCCUCGAUUUCCACUAGACAAAUUUAUUAAGCCUAAUUAAUCCGUCACUGGCACAUGUUUAGGGUAGCACCACAUUAUGGACUAAUUAAACUUAAAAGAAUCGUCUCACAAAAUAGACGUAAUCUGUGUAAUGCUCCAUACAUGUGUCUCAAGAUACCAUGGGAGUAACAUUAGAGGGAGGAACUAAACAAGGCCUUAGGGCACUCACAAUGCAGACUCUAUCAUAGAGUCUCGCUCAUAUGGUAUUUCGAGCUGUUAUAAUGGCACACAAGUAAAAGCAUCAAUAAUUACUCGCUCCGUUCCAAAUUAGAAGUCGUUGUGCCUUUUGGCACGACGACGGCGAGGACGAGGCGAAGGCCGAAGAGGAGAAGGACGAGGAGGAGGGGGCAGAGACCAUACCAAAACGAAACAUCCGCGACCAAUAUGCUCGAAAGCAAACCCAUCAAUGGCGGCUCAGAUCCCGCGUCGCCCGACCAUGCCCGCGACCGGAAGCCGCCGCGGACCCUGCCCCCACGGUCCCCAACCCCAGCCCCCGCCGCCGCAGCACCGUCGCCCGCACAAGCGUCCGCAAUCCGACGCGGCGCGUCGCGGCGGGGAGAGGGGUGGCCCCGGGGAGGCGCGGAUCCGAGGACGGCCGGCGCUCGGGAGCCGGUCCGGCGCCAACCGCGGCGCCCUUCCUCAUCGCCGCCGUCUUUGUUGCCAGGGCUGUGGGUUUCAGUGGUGUGGUCACGGGCCGCCGCGAGUGGGAACAAGCGGCACGAAUGGCAGAUUUGGAGGGAGUAGCCUCAGAGGGCUCGGCUCGCAUGCUCCGCCGCCGCCGCCGCCGCCGCUGCCCACACGCGGUGGCCUCACACUUAAACUAACGAGUGAGUAUUCUGGUCGGAGACGACGAGGUUUUUAUGCGGGGCUGGGGAGGAGGGGCCCACUCGCACGCGUCCACUGCCAGUCCAUCACCGCUCAUGGCCGAGCAGCCGUGGACCUUUAUUUCGGCCCAAAUCUAACUAGCUUCCUGGUUCAUGGGGCCCAUACGUUAGAUGCUACUCCUACGGAAUUUGGGCAACAAAACAUGUCCAUUUGGUUUUUCUACAGAAUUUGAAUUUGAAGAGAGAAAAAAACACUUCACGUAUGUCUGCAACAACACCAUCCAAUCAUGCCAUUCCGAGAUGAGAGCCAGAGCCGAUGCCUCCAAGGUUGAUGGACCAGAGCUGCCAGCACUAAGCAUGCAGCCGGGACGUCAGUCUCUCUCUACAGUACUGUACUCCCUAGGCCAUGGCCCAUCAUCCCUCACUGUCAUAGUCAAAGGCAGAGGCAGCAUUAAGGCCUUGUUUAAUUCAAACAAAAACUAAAAACUUUUCAAAAUUUCCUGUCACAUCGAAUUUUACGGUACAUGCAUGAAGCAUUAAAUAAAUAUAGACAAAAAUAAAAACUAAUUACACAGUUUAUCUAUAAAUCGCGAGAUGAAUAUUUUAAGCCUAGUUAGUCUAUGAUUGGACAAUGUUUGUCAAAUAAAAACGAAAGUGCUACAGUCCCGAAAACCAAAAAGUUUUCGAAACUAAACAAUGCCUAAGACCUUGUUUAGUUCGCAAAAAUUUUUGGCUUUGGCUACUAUAGCACUUUCAUCUCUAUUUUAUAAUUAUUGUCCAAUCAAGGACUAACUACGCUCUAAAGAUUCGUCCGCAAAUUACAGACAAACUGUAUAAUUAAUUUUUGUUUUUAUUUAUAUUUAAUGCUCUAUGCAUACAUCCAAAGAUUCAAUUUGACAAAGAAUCUUGAAUUUUUUUAGAAACUAAACCAGACCUAACCUGUCCCUCCAAUACAAAGGAUUUGGCCCCUAGCUAGCUGAGCCAAACCACACUCCCUCCAGGAUUUACCAUGUGCACACUAGUGCGCGCGGGCCGCGGGGCCACUCUCGUGUUUGGAACAAUGACAUUUUCAAUUAGUGAAGGGAGUCUAAUACAAUCGAACAAAAAAAAUGAGUCUGAAAUGCAAGCGAAGAAUCAGCUCGUGUUUUAUGACUAAAAUCCAGAGAUCAUUGAGUGGAGGAAACUUUGGCCAAUUAGCGUGCACAGCAGAGCAGUUCUACUGGUAAGCUUAAAUGAAACAAGGAGAACAGAAAGUAAGUGCUGCCACCAAAAUCAAGAAACAAAGAAAGAAAAGAAAAGAAAAGAAAAUAAGAAAAAAAAUAAAAAAUUGCACAAGAGACUGAGCCAUAACUCCAACAAGGGGGCUAAACUUCUUUUGACCAUAUGAACCAGCAAGGACAAUUCUUUGAAAAAAAAAGUUGCUUGGAUUCAAGCAAUUCUUUGAAAAAAAGAUGCUUGGAUUCAAGCAAGUUGGCAGGCUUCCUUCUAAAGAUGAGUUUAUUUCUAGCUUACCGAACUGCCCAACAUAUUAGAACUAUCAAAUUCAUGACAAAGAAAGAAAGAAAGAAAGAAAGAAAGAAAGAAAGAAAGAAAUAAAUAAAUAAAUAAAGAAAUAAAGGAAGAAACGAGAGCCUAGCAGAUCUGAGCUGUAUCAACUGCCUGCUGCGCACCACAACCAUCUUUGAGGCUUAUCACUAGGAGAUUCCAACAGUUAUUGGCAAAACCUGCUCUCUGAGUUGAGCAAUCAUGCAGAAUCAGAGGACAACCGAUCCGAAUCAAGUAUGGUAUCAUAUUAUCAGAGACAGUCAGUGUAUCUAUAAUUAGGUAUGUAUGGAGUUUAUUCCUUUCCUAGCAACAAACCAUGGAGUAAUAUCAAGACUGGCCUAACAAUCAUACAGGAAUGUUUUUUUCUCCUUUUUUUUUAAAAAAAAAGGGGAAGAUGCUGGCAUCGGGUGCGGAUGAGAUGGAACCCCCUACUCGUCUCUCUAUACAUUAAAGAGACAAGUCCCAUCGCAGCAUCCCCUAAUUAGAUGACUGACUGACUAUACAUAUGAUGAGCUAUUAAUUAUGGUAGUAUAGCCUGCUGCUGCUCAGUUUGCUGCUUGCUACUACUGCACGAUGGAUAGAUGGAUGGAUAGAUGAUUCAUUUGCUGUUGUCGCGUGAUCCAGCAUAGCCGUAUGGGUUCUUGCUUGCCCAAUUCCACAGAUCUCUACACAUCUCCUCGAUCCCACUUUGCCCUGCAAGUUUUCAUAUUAUUUUCAUUAUUAAGGAUCGAGAGACAACAUGCUGAACCAUAUAAGCCACAACUAGCAAGCAUACUUACUUCCAUUUGAGCUCUUUCUUUGCCUUGGCAGUUGCGGCAUAGACAAUCUCUUGUCUCCAGGUCUUCACCCAGCAAACAUGGUUGUGGACGCUUUUAUUGGAAAGCAAUACACCAGGAAGAAGGCAACAGCAGCCUCUAGUGGCUAAGUAUCAGCCACAGUUGCCUGUUAGGAGGCUGUUCCUUUAAUUUAGGAUCUACGGAGGAGAAAUCGGAGUUCAGUUAUCAGCUUGUGGUGCACAGUCGGUCAUUAGGAUAUAUAGCUAAGGGCCAUCUGAUUAGGGAGGGUGAGCAGAGAUAAGAGUCAUCACAGUCAGAGCCACCCAGGGAGGGUGAACCAAUUCUAUUACUGCUGCCAUUUUUAGGUUUAGCCAUUGUAAUCAUUCUCCAAUUUGUCAAUAAAGAACAGCCAGAUUCCUAGCUCUAUCAAAACACCAGAGAAUUUUCUGUACAGAAUUCAGCCGGUCAACCAAUAACUCGGAUGAAUGAAACAUCCAUAUAUUGGUGAAGAUAUAUCCAUGCAUGAUGGUUUCAACGUUCAAAUAACUAAGGCUAAUUCGUUCAAGGUUGAUUUUACCUUCCCAGAAACCUUCUUCAAAUGCAGCCACCAUUUCCAACACCGAUGUCCCCUAUCCUGUCCCCAGAUUGUAUACUUCACACCCUAGUACCCUACAUGUACUACAACCAACCAAUAGAUGAGCAUUGCAUCAUUAGCGAGCUUCAGCUGACUGCUUGAAUAUACAACAGCUGAGUUGUCCAUGAAGUAUAAUUAGGAGGAUUCCCCGCGCAUUGCCACGGGUAUGAAGGAAUAUAAAUAUGUUAGAAUGUUAAUCACUAAGAAUCUAUAUGUAUGGUGUUGGUAAUGCAGCAAUAUAUGUUAAUAAAUGAUGUGGUUUGCUAAUGUGAAUAGCUUCAAUGAAGACAUAAUGACAUGUGUUAGUUGGAUGUGUUAGUGCAUGCUGAUGUGGACACUUUGCAUGACGAGAUAGUUGAAUGUGCCAGUGGGAUGUUCUAGUGUAUGCUGAUGUGGACACUUUGCAUGGCAAGAAAAAUAGCUAGUGGGGUUUAUCUUUACAAGAGAUGUACAAUUGGUAACCAACCUAUUUUGUCCGAUUCUUCAUAGAACUUCGUCAGGGCUGCUAUAUGGCCAUCAACCAGGUCAACAACGUGGAUGUAAUCACAUACCUAGCAGUUUUUUUAACAGCAAAAUAUACAUCAGUAAUGAGCUGAGUUUCUAGACUACAUAACAGAAUGAACACGGAGCAAACUAUUCAAAAACCCUCCAUAAAUCUUAUCAUCCCCAGACCCUGCUCCUAAUGUUCGCACUGAACACAUAUAUUAGAACAACAUAUUAGAAAAUAGAUAGAUAUGGUUCUGGAUUGUUUCAGAAAUAUAUAUUCUAGAACUUUUAGCUAGCUAGAUAGCACAUCUCAUGGAGGCAAAACUCAGCAGCUCAGAUCAAUUAGCAACCAGCAGAGGAGCGACUAUCUGGGAUAGUUGCCUGAGAAGGAUGGUGAUGGUUACCUAAGAAGGAUGCAAGGCAACAACUUCAUCAGAGCUCGUGUGGUUCAAUCAGUGGGAGGAGCAACAAGAAGCAGCGGUCAGAGGGCGAGGCUCUGAUAAGUUGACCUUGUGCUGUUUCAUAGGUGGAAUUAUUAUAUCCCCAACAAAGUAUAGUAUUGACUCCUAACUACUCUUAGCUUUUGCGGCCGAACUUAUGAGCCAUGACCUAAACAUGCAGGCCAAGAAAUAGCCUGUUCCUUUGUGAACUGCACACACAACGAGAAGUUUUCACACACAUGACCAAAAAGUACAGCCACACUCAUGAUAGUAAUUUAGUAUGUCUAUCCAUUUGUUUGAUCAACCAAGAUUCAUCACGGUCAUGGUGCACAAUUAGGAUUUAGGACCAUUAAUGCCAAGGUUGUCUGCCCAAAGUAUUGUUGGAAGAAUGGAAGUGGUUAAAUAUGAGUUUGUCGGAAAAGAAAACAUUCUUUAGAUUUUAGAACAAAAUGACUAAAUGAGCAAUUAAUCCAAGUAAGCUUGUGUGUCCGAACCAAAAAAUAUGCAUCGAUAUCUACCCAGGUCAGGAAUCUUAAAUGUCAUCAAAUCCAAGUUAGUCCCAUUAGUAACAUGAUCCUGGUCCCAAGUUGAAAUCACUAGAAAAGGCAGGAUACCAUGAAGGAAAGAGAAUCAUAAACAUAAGUAUGAGGAUCAUAAUCAAAGUACAGAACAGAAUACUUGUCGAAGCACCACAUCAUUUUGAAUGCUCAGAUUUGCCCCAGUAUCAACACAAUAUUUGUAUAAGCACCAUGUACUCCCUCCCUCUCUAAAUGAACUAAGUAGGAACGUUCAUUCGAAUAUAUACAAUAUACUACACCACCACAGCAGCAAUGGCAACAAUUAGUUGCAAACUAGAUCCUAGUUUGGCAGCAAAUCAAGCAAAAUAACAAAGCAAACAAUUCAGGAUGUUGCAAAGUAAUAGCCCUAUAGGGUUGGGACGUCUGAUCAUUAGACACUGAAGAACAGUUCCAAACAAGAAAGAAAGGUGAAUAGACAGGCAUCAAAAAAACAUCAGAAAAGAAAACGUAUAGGAACUACCAAAAUGGAUCAAUGCUGCAGCACGGCUAUAAUAGUUGUGAUGGCCUCUUAAGUUCAAACUCAUCCAGCUCCAACUUGAAGAGUGCAUGAUCUCAACAUCUCAUGAAACUACUGCAAUAAAUUCUGGGAUCAACAAACUUAACCAAAAAUAUCCGUCAUGCAAACCAAGGACAAUGCAAACACUGACAGCAGAAUCAACGGCAAAAAUUAGGAAACAUUUCAACCAACAAAUCAACAAAAUUCAAAUGGGAAUACAUAGCAUUAAGAGACAAGCACAACAAAAGGAAAAAGGAUACAACGUCCUUCUCUAUUCUUUUUUUCUCUUUUUUUGUGUGUAUUUGGGGGGUUGGGGGGCUCAGCUUCGCCUUUGCUCAUUCAUUCAACCAUAUCCUCAUCAUCUCUGAUCACCAGAGCAACUUGUUCUGAUAAAUGAACCUGCCCUGGUUAUCACCCAUGAAGAAUGGCAUGACCAUCCAAGGACAAAGCCACUACCGUUAGAACAUAAUUGAAAAGGUUUCCGAGAGAAAGAAGAGGAUUCCAGUUUGGUUCCCAUAGCAGCCUUGAUUGCUCAAAGGCGCUUAUGUCAGCCAUGGUUGUUGAUCAUUGCCCGAGAUGAGAAUAUUUUUUACUUUCUUCAUUCUUGAGGGGCACUUCGGUACGAACUUAUGAGAUGGAACUAACUUGGCAUAUUAUUAGUCCCACUAACAAUGACCCAGGUCCCAG
rnacentral:lncRNA from 1 species